rfam:Arthrobacter sp. PAMC25486, complete genome.
GGUCACGAGUGCCAGCGCUAAACCCCGGUUUGCUGGCCGGCAACCCUCCUUUCGCGGCGGGGUGCCCCGGGUGACGACCUGGCCAGACCUGUUCGGUCUUGGCAAGCGCGGACU